rnacentral:rRNA from 1 species
GGGUUGUGAGGUUAAGCGACUAAGCGUACACGGUGGAUGCCCUGGCAGUCAGAGGCGAUGAAGGGCGUGCUAAUCUGCGAUAAGCGCCGGUAAGGUGAUAUGAACCGUUAUAACCGGCGAUACCCGAAUGGGGAAACCCAGUGUGACUCGUCACACUAUCAUUAACUGAAUCCAUAGGUUAAUGAGGCGAACCGGGGGAACUGAAACAUCUAAGUACCCCGAGGAAAAGAAAUCAACCGAGAUUCCCCCAGUAGCGGCGAGCGAACGGGGAGGAGCCCAGAGCCUGAAUCAGCAUGUGUGUUAGUGGAAGCGUCUGGAAAGGCGCGCGAUACAGGGUGACAGCCCCGUACACAAAAGCGCAUGUGCUGUGAGCUCGAUGAGUAGGGCGGGACACGUGGUAUCCUGUCUGAAUAUGGGGGGACCAUCCUCCAAGGCUAAAUACUCCUGACUGACCGAUAGUGAACCAGUACCGUGAGGGAAAGGCGAAAAGAACCCCGGCGAGGGGAGUGAAAAAGAACCUGAAACCGUGUACGUACAAGCAGUGGGAGCACAGGUUUACCUGUGUGACUGCGUACCUUUUGUAUAAUGGGUCAGCGACUUAUAUUCUGUAGCAAGGUUAACCGAAUAGGGGAGCCGGAGGGAAACCGAGUCUUAAUUGGGCGUUAAGUUGCAGGGUAUAGACCCGAAACCCGGUGAUCUAGCCAUGGGCAGGUUGAAGGUUGGGUAACACUAACUGGAGGACCGAACCGACUAAUGUUGAAAAAUUAGCGGAUGACCUGUGGCUGGGGGUGAAAGGCCAAUCAAACCGGGAGAUAGCUGGUUCUCCCCGAAAGCUAUUUAGGUAGCGCCUCGUGAAUUCAUCUCCGGGGGUAGAGCACUGUUUCGGCUAGGGGGCCAUCCCGGCUUACCAACCCGAUGCAAACUGCGAAUACCGGAGAAUGUUAUCACGGGAGACACACGGCGGGUGCUAACGUCCGUCGUGAAGAGGGAAACAACCCAGACCGCCAGCUAAGGUCCCAAAGUCAUGGUUAAGUGGGAAACGAUGUGGGAAGGCCCAGACAGCCAGGAUGUUGGCUUAGAAGCAGCCAUCAUUUAAAGAAAGCGUAAUAGCUCACUGGUCGAGUCGGCCUGCGCGGAAGAUGUAACGGGGCUAAACCAUGCACCGAAGCUGCGGCAGCGAACGUAUCACCCAAGACAACUUUGCGGAGUUGACGAUUGACGGAGCGAAGCGACGUCAAAGCGUUCAUUAAAGUCGAGUUGGCUUAGGGAUACGUUCGUUGGGUAGGGGAGCGUUCUGUAAGCCAGUGAAGGUGUGUCGUGAGGCAUGCUGGAGGUAUCAGAAGUGCGAAUGCUGACAUAAGUAACGAUAAAGCGGGUGAAAAGCCCGCUCGCCGGAAGACCAAGGGUUCCUGUCCAACGUUAAUCGGGGCA